rnacentral:misc_RNA from 1 species
UAUGUUUCUUUUCUUGCGGGGUGCUUUCGUUCAAUUCGAUUUGGUUUGGAGGAAGCUCAUGGAAAAGGACAAGCUGUGCAGUUCAACUGGUUAUUUGAGAAAGAAGCCUUUAUUUUGCACCCUGAUGAGACGUUCUCUGUUGAUUUUGCUAAGGUUGAGGGGUAGGUUGAAAGCCUGAGCAGGGAAAUACUAAACUAUACAGGCAAAAGGUGACAAAGAAG